rnacentral:rRNA from 1 species
CCUACGGGAGGCAGCAGUGAGGAAUAUUUGUCAAUGGACGCAAGCCUGAACCAGCCAUGCCGCGUGCGGGAUGACGGCUCUAUGAGUUGUAAACUGCUUUUGUACGGGGGUAAACCCCGAUACGUGUAUCGCGUGGAAAGUAUCGUACGAAUAAGGAUCGGCGAACUCCGUGCCAGCAGCCGCGGUAAUACGGAGGAUCCGAGCGUUAUCCGGAAUUGUUGGGUGUAAGGGGUGCGUAGGCGGUUUGAUAAGUUAGAGGUGAAAUGCCGGGGCUCAACCCCGAAACUGCCUAUAGUACUGUUGGACUAGAGAAUAGUUGCGGUAGGCGGAAUGUAUGGUGUAGCAGUGAAAUGCGUAGAGAUCAUACAGAACACCGAUUGCGAAGGCAGCUUACCAAACUAUAUCUGACGUUGAGGCACGAAAGCGUGGGUAGCAAACAGGAUUAGAUACCCCAGUAGUC